GCUAACUACGUGCCAGCAGCCGCGGUAAAACGUAGGAGGCGAGCGUUAUCCGGAUUUACUGGGCGUAAAGCGCACGCAGGCGGCUCCGUGAGUCGGACGUGAAAGCUCUCGGCUUAACCGGGAGAGGCCGUUCGAUACUGCGGGGCUUGAGGUAGGGAGAGGAAUGCGGAAUUCCCGGUGUAGUGGUGGAAUGCGUAGAUAUCGGGAGGAACACCUGUGGCGAAAGCGGCAUUCUGGCCCUCACCUGACGCUGAGGUGCGAAAGCGUGGGUAGCAAACAGGAUUAGAUACCCUGGUAGUC
rnacentral:rRNA from 1 species